UAGGCUUCCAGACUUGCAAAAAUGCAACUGAAAAAAUAUGCCCAAAGUACAGGUAUUGGCUCCCCACUCUGAAUUAUGACAACUGACCAUCAGAAACAAAAAAACAAUAAUGACUUCAUAAUAAUUGAGCCAUGUCAUCUAUGUUUGCUACUCUCUCCAAACAGAAGAACUGACAGAUCAGAACUACAGAUGCUAAGUCAGCCUGGAACAGGACUGAACGACCACUGAUGGGCAUGAAGUGGUCUGCCCUCAAUGCCCAGUGCUAAUGGAUUUUAGAACAAAUCAACUUCCAGUCACGAAAUUCUGGGGUUAGAGCUAAGGAGGCUACAAAAACACACACGUGAAGGGACAGCAACAGAGAGGCUUCAACAUCAGUCAAUUUAAGCUUCCAUGGACCUACAUCUUGAGAUGUCUCAGACUGCUUUGGUAAAAAGAAAGGUUCCUAUCACAUCACUGGAAACCAAAGCAAUCAUGGUUUUACAGGUUUAAAGAAAAGCCAUCACCUCACAUGCUAACCUAAAAUAAACUGACGGGCUAUACAGA